rnacentral:rRNA from 1 species
CGGCGUGCUAACACAUGCAGUCGUACGAGAAACACAUACUUCGGGAUGUGGAGUACAGUGGCGAACGGGUGAGUAACACGUGGGUAACCUGCCCUCGGGACCGGGAUAACUGGCCGAAAGGCCCGCUAAUACCGGAUAAGGCCACAUGGGCUUCGGCCCAAGGGGUCAAAGUCGGCCUCUCAAAGAAGCUGGCGCCCAAGGAGGGGCUCGCGUACCAUUAGCUUGUUGGUAGGGUAACGGCCUACCAAGGCAAAGAUGGUUAGCUGGUCUGAGAGGAUGAUCAGCCACACUGGAACUGACACACGGUCCAGACUCCUACGGGAGGCAGCAGUGAGGAAUAUUGCGCAAUGGGGGAAACCCUGACGCAGCAACGCCGCGUGGGUGAAGAAGGCCCUCGGGUUGUAAAGCCCUGUCAGGUGCGAAGAACCCUUUUCAGGUUAAUACCCUGGAGAGCUGACGGUACCACCAAAAGGAAGCCACCGGCUAACUCCGUGCCAGCAGCCGCGGUCAGACGGAGGGUGCAAGCGUAGUUCGCAAUCACUGGGCGUAAACCGCGUGUAGGCGGUUUGAUAAGUCGAAUCUGACAGCCCGUGGCUUAACCUCGGAAGCGCACUCGAAACUGUC